GCAGUCAGUGCUCUUAACCUCUGAGCCAUCUCUCCAUCCCCCAGUGAUGGUAUUAAAGAAUAAUAUCCUGUCUUCAGUGAGAGGCUGCAAACAGUAUGAGAUGGGAAAUGAAGGAGGCUGAUUUUUACAGAUUUGACAUGUGAUCUCCCAGUGCCCCAAUUAUUAGUAUUGACUAUCCAUGUGAAUGCAAUGGGAUGCUGUCUGCUGCUGUGAUCACAGAGGCUUCAGUGAUUCUUGUACAGACUCUAGGUACCGGCUAUCAGUGUGUAUGGGAGACAGUCCCUUGCCCAUAUUUGCAGGAGCAGUGGGAGUGACACUCAACACAAGAAGGGCAACAGAACUUUGUGAAGACAUGCAUAUCAAGCCGUACUUUAUUCUUUGUCUUCAAUACUGCAGAGAGUGCCUGCUGAGAACUACAAACCUGUAAAAGGGUUCACUUAAACCCUCUGCAUGAUGUGAUUCGACCAAACUCUUCUAUAGACUUCUAGAAGCCUAAGGCUGUGUCCCUAUGAUGGCAUAGCCACUCUUUGGGUUCCUGUCUGGAGAAGGACAGAUUGACUAAAGGAAUGGCUGUUUGUUCCAUCCAACAACUGACCAUGGGCCAUUGCCUUCUCUUAGUGGAGCAGUCACUAAAAAGAAAUAAACAAAUACUAAAGAACCUA